AUAUUGCACAAUGGGGGAAACCCUGAUGCAGCGACGCCGCGUGAGCGAAGAAGUAUUUCGGUAUGUAAAGCUCUAUCAGCAGGGCAGAAAAUGACGGUACCUGACUAAGAAGCACCGGCUAAAUACGUGCCAGCAGCCGCGGUAAUACGUAUGGUGCAAGCGUUAUCCGGAUUUACGGGGUUUAAAGGGAGCGUAGACGGAGCAGCAAGUCUGGAGUGAAAACCCGGGGCUCAACCCCGGGACUGCUUUGGAAGCUGUUGUUCUAGAGUGCUGGAGAGGUAAGUGGAAUUCCUAGUGUAGCGGUGAAAUGCGUAGAUAUUAGGAGGAACACCAGUGGCGAAGGCGGCUUACUGGACAGUAACUGACGUUGAGGCUCGAAAGCGUGGGGAGCAAACAG
rnacentral:rRNA from 1 species